UUAUCUAGCCGGGAUCCCCGGCGCGGAUGGUCGGGACGAUUAUUGGGCCUAAAGCGCCCGUAGCCGGCUCGGCAAGUCUCCUCCUAAAUCCCCCGGGCUCAACCCGAGGAUUGGAGGAGAUACUGCCGAGCUAGGGGGUGGGAGAGGCCGAGGGUACUCCCGGGGUAGGGGCGAAAUCCUAUAAUCCCGGGAGGACCACCAGUGGCGAAGGC
rnacentral:rRNA from 1 species